UACGUAGGGGGCAAGCGUUGUCCGGAUUUAUUGGGCGUAAAGAGCGUGUAGGCGGCCAAACAGGUCAGCUGUGAAAACUCGAGGCUCAACCUCGAGACGUCGGUUGAAACCGUUUGGCUAGAGUCCGGAAGAGGAGAGUGGAAUUCCCGGUGUAGCGGUGAAAUGCGCAGAUAUCGGGAAGAACACCCGUGGCGAAGGCGGCUCUCUGGGACGGUACUGACGCUGAGGAGCGAAAGCGUGGGGAGCGAACGAGG
rnacentral:rRNA from 1 species